rnacentral:rRNA from 1 species
GACGAACGCUGGCGGCGUGCUUAACACAUGCAAGUCGAGCGGUAAGGCCCUUUCGGGGGUACACGAGCGGCGAACGGGUGAGUAACACGUGGGUGACCUGCCCUUAGCUCUGGGAUAAGCCUGGGAAACUGGGUCUAAUACCGGAUAUGACCUCAUGACGCAUGUUGUGGGGUGGAAAGCCUUGUGCGGCUAGGGAUGGGCCCGCGGCCUAUCAGCUUGUUGGUGGGGUGAUGGCCUACCAAGGCGACGACGGGUAGCCGGCCUGAGAGGGCGACCGGCCACACUGGGACUGAGACACGGCCCAGACUCCUACGGGAGGCAGCAGUGGGGAAUCUUGCGCAAUGGGCGAAAGCCUGACGCAGCGACGCCGCGUGAGGGAUGACGGCCUGGUGUAAC